rnacentral:rRNA from 1 species
GAUGAACGCUGGCGGCGUGCCUAACACAUGCCAGUCGAACGGAGAUUACGGACGGAAGUUUUCGGAUGGAAGACUGUAAUUCUUAGUGGCGGACGGGUGAGUAACGCGUGGGCAACCUGCCCUAUACAGGGGGAUAGCAGCUGGAAACGGCUGGUAAGACCGCAUAAGUCGGUUAAAUCGCAUGAUUUGAUCGGGAAAUGAGCAAUCAGGUAUAGGAUGGGUCCGCGUCCGAUUAGCCAGUUGGCAGGGUAAAAGCCUACCAAAGCGACGAUCGGUAGCCGGACUGAGAGGUCGGACGGCCACAUUGGGACUGAGACACGGCCCAAACUCCUACGGGAGGCAGCAGUGGGGGAUAUUGCACAAUGGAGGAAACUCUGAUGCAGCGACGCCGCGUGAGUGAAGAAGUAUUUCGGUAUGUAAAGCUCUAUCAGCAGGGAAGAUGAUGACGGUACCUGACUAAGAAGCCCCGGCUAACUACGUG